CCUACGGGUGGCAGCAGUGGGGAAUUUUGGACAAUGGGCGAAAGCCUGAUCCAGCAAUGCCGCGUGAGUGAAGAAGGCCUUCGGGUUGUAAAGCUCUUUUGUUUGGGAAGAAAUCCCUAAGGAUAAUACCCUUGGGGGAUGACGGUACCAAAAGAAUAAGCACCGGCUAACUACGUGCCAGCAGCCGCGGUAAGACGUAGGGAGCAAGCGGUAAUCGGAAGUACUGGGCGGAAUGUGUGCGCAGGGGGUGACAUCCCCGAGCUCAACUUGGGAACUGCACUUGUGACUGCAAGACUAGAGUGUGUCAGAGGGAGGUAGAAUUCCACGUGUAGCAGUGAAAUGCGUAGAUAUGUGGAGGAAUACCAGUGGCGAAGGCGGCCUCCUGGGAUAACACUGACGCUCAUGUACGAAAGCGUGGGGAGCAAACAGGAUUAGAUACCCCGGUAGUC
rnacentral:rRNA from 1 species